CACAAGGUUAGAGUGGGUAAUGAACUGAGAAUAGCAUUGCUCUGUCAGUUUUCCUCAUUAGCAGUCUUAGGUAAUGACUUGAAGGUGUUGCACAGUCUUGCCAGUGGUUACAGCUGAUUGUGUGCUAAUUCAAAGUAUGUCACCUGCCUGUGCAUGCUGACUGGACGAGGAGAGGCCAAGAGAGGGACUGUAGUUGGCUGCUCUGUGCCCAGUCAUAUUUUCCUGCAGAGGACCUGAGCCCUAGGACCAUGCCCCAGGACUACCUGACAUGAUGACUCCUUGCUGUCCCCAGUCCACCUGGCCAUGCUGCUGCUCCAGUUUCAACUGGCCUGGGCCCUAGGACCAUGUCCCAGGACUACCUGACAUGAGGACUCCUUGCUGUCCCCAGUCCACCUGGCCAUGCUCCUGCUCCAGUUUCAACUGUUCUGCCUUACUAUUAUUCAACCAUGCUGGUCAUUUAUGAACAUUUGAACAUCUUGGCCACGUUCUGUUAUAAUCUCCACCCGGCACAGCCAAAAGAGGACUGGCCACCCCACAUAUGCUCUCUAAUUCUCUCUUUCUUUCUCUCUCUCGGAGGACCUGAGCCCUAGGACAGUGCCCCAGGACUACCUGACAUGAUGGCUCCUUGCUGUCCCCAUUCCACCUGACUGCUGCUGCUCCAGUUUCAACUGUUCUGCCUUAUUAUUAUUCGACCAUGCUGGUCAUUUAUGAACAUUUGAACAUCUUGGUCAUGUUCUGUUAUAAUCUCUACCCGGCACAGCCAGAAGAGGACUGGCCACCCCACAUAGCCCGGUUCCUCUCUAGGUUUCUUCCUAGGUUUUGGCCUUUCUAGGGAGUUUUUCCUAGCCACCGUGCUUUUACACCUGCAUUGUUUGCUGUUUGGGGUUUUAGGCUGGGUUUCUGUACAGCACUUUGAGAUAUCAGCUGAUGUACGAAGGGCUAUAUAAAUAAAUUUGAUUUGAUUUGAUUUGUACAUGUUAGGAUGGUCAGAGCUCUCGUAAAUAAACGUUGCUGACUAUUGUA